AUCCUUUUGUAGUUCAUAAGCAUGAUGAUUGGAUUUUCACACACAUGCGUGAGAUGUGCCUCCCUCAGUCUUUGUUACGAGGUUGGCACAUUACCCGUCUGACA
ensembl:snoRNA